rnacentral:rRNA from 1 species
AUUGAACGCUGGCGGCAGGCCUAACACAUGCAAGUCGAGCGGAUGAGAGGAGCUUGCUCCUUGAUUCAGCGGCGGACGGGUGAGUAAUGCCUAGGAAUCUGCCUGGUAGUGGGGGAUAACGUUCCGAAAGGAACGCUAAUACCGCAUACGUCCUACGGGAGAAAGCAGGGGACCUUCGGGCCUUGCGCUAUCAGAUGAGCCUAGGUCGGAUUAGCUAGUUGGUGGGGUAAUGGCUCACCAAGGCGACGAUCCGUAACUGGUCUGAGAGGAUGAUCAGUCACACUGGAACUGAGACACGGUCCAGACUCCUACGGGAGGCAGCAGUGGGGAAUAUUGGACAAUGGGCGAAAGCCUGAUCCAGCCAUGCCGCGUGUGUGAAGAAGGUCUUCGGAUCGUAAAGCACUUUAAGUUGGGAGGAAGGGCAGUAAGUUAAUACCUUGCUGUUUUGACGUUACCAACAGAAUUAGCACCGGCUAACUUCGUGCCAGCCGCCGCUGUAAUAC